AAUGCGAGUCACGAGCAGCUAGUCAGUCUGCUACCAGAACCGGUAUCGUGAUUCGUGCAGAAAGUAUAGAGCGAUCAUCGUCAGGAAAGAUAUAUAUAACUUAGAAGAGAUGGCGGCCAGUCAAUAUUAUCACGUGCAGUGCGUGCCUACUGUAUAUCCGGCCGAGCCUUUUGAUGCCGAAGAAGAUGCCACCCUCUUACGGACUGCCAUGAAGGGCUUUGGUACCGAUGAGCAGGCCAUCAUCGACGUCUUGGCUCAUCGAGGUGUCGUACAGAGAUUGGAAAUUGCAGACAAAUUUAAAACGAUGUACGGCAAGGACCUUGUUUCUGAAUUGAAAUCGGAACUUUCCGGGAACUUCGAGAAAGUCAUCUGCGCGCUGAUGACGCCUCUUCCCGAACUGUACGCCAAGGAAUUGCAUCACGCCGUUUCCGGCAUGGGUACCGACGAAGAAGCGCUCAUCGAGGUCCUCGCUUCUUUGAGCAAUUACGGCAUCAAAACAAUAUCAGCUAUUUACAAGGAUCUGUACGAAAAGGAACUGGAAGAUGACCUCAAGAGCGAUACUUCCGGCCAUUUUAAAAGGCUCAUGGUGUCAUUGUCUUGUGCCAAUAGAAAUGAGAAUUCCGAAAUCGAUGAAGAGGCUGCGAUUCAGGAUGCCGAGAGGCUUAUAGCCGCCGGUGAGGGACAAUGGGGUACCGAUGAGAGUACUUUCAAUGCAAUUUUGAUCACCAAGAGUUACCCACAAUUGCGAAGAAUCUUCAAAGAAUACGAACGCAUCGCCGGACACAGCUUGGAGGACGCUAUUAAACGAGAAUUUUCGGGUUCUCUUGAAGAUGGCUACUUGGCCGUAGUAAAAUGUGCCCGCGAUAAGACUGCUUAUUUCGCAGAAAGACUGUACAAAGCUAUGCGUGGAAUCGGCACGACCGACUCGACGUUAAUACGCAUAAUUGUAACGCGGUCAGAGAUCGAUCUAGGUGACAUCAAAGAGGCUUACGAGAGACUCUACGGCAAAUCUCUCGCGGAAGCUAUCGAUGAUGACUGUUCGGGCGACUACAAGAGACUCUUGCUUACUCUUCUCGGAUGAAACUAUUUCUCAAUUGCGCGACUUCUUUCGAUCGAAAAUUCAGUACUUCAAUGUCACGAAUUAUAUAUAUAUAUACGCGUCAUCGUAAAAUAUAAUAAUAACGUCUCGUAGUAUUCGGCUAGUUUCUUAUAUUUCGCGACGGGUAUUGGGAUGAAUGAUUGCACUGCCGAGUGGAAAAGGCUGCUGAUAACAAUGCUGAAUUAAAAAUAUCCAAUAUCACAAUUGAAACAAGAGGGGAGAAAAAUGUGUAAAAUUAAGUAAUAAAGAAAAGAAAGAGAUUUGGAUGAUA